rnacentral:rRNA from 1 species
GUGGGGAAUUUUGGACAAUGGGCGCAAGCCUGAUCCAGCAAUGCCGCGUGCAGGAAGAAGGCCUUCGGGUUGUAAACUGCUUUUGUACGGAACGAAACGGUCUGGGUUAAUACCCUGGACUAAUGACGGUACCGUAAGAAUAAGCACCGGCUAACUACGUGCCAGCAGCCGCGGUAAUACGUAGGGUGCAAGCGUUAAUCGGAAUUACUGGGCGUAAAGCGUGCGCAGGCGGUUUUGUAAGACAGGCGUGAGAUCCCCGGGCUCAACCUGGGAAUUGCGCUUGUGACUGCAAGGCUGGAGUGCGGCAGAGGGGGAUGGAAUUCCGCGUGUAGCAGUGAAAUGCGUAGAUAUGCGGAGGAACACCGAUGGCGAAGGCAAUCCCCUGGGCCUGCACUGACGCUCAUGCACGAAAGCGUGGGGAGCAAACAGGAUUAGAUACCCCUGUAGUCC